rnacentral:rRNA from 1 species
AGAGUUUGAUCCUGGCUCAGGAUGAACGCUAGCCACAGGCUUAACACAUGCAAGUCGAGGGGAAACGACAUCGAAAGCUUGCUUUUGAUGGGCGUCGACCGGCGCACGGGUGAGUAACGCGUAUCCAACCUGCCCAUCACUUGGGGAUAACCUUGCGAAAGUAAGACUAAUACCCAAUGACGUCUCUAGAAGACAUCUGAAAGAGAUUAAAGAUUUAUCGGUGAUGGAUGGGGAUGCGUCUGAUUAGCUUGUUGGCGGGGUAACGGCCACAAGGCGACGAUCAGUAGGGGUUCUGAGAGGAAGGUCCCCACAUUGGAACUGAGACACGGUCCAAACUUCUACGGGAGGCA